rnacentral:rRNA from 1 species
GGACGAACGCUGGCGGCGUGCUUAACACAUGCAAGUCGAACGGGGGAUUACCGGGCGGAAGGCUUCGGCCGGAAGGCAGGUAAUCGAGUGGCGGACGGGUGAGUAACGCGUGAACAAUCUGUCCCAGACAGGGGGAUAACACUUGGAAACAGGUGCUAAUACCGCGUAAGACCACGUUGUCGCAUGGCGGUGGGGUAAAAGGAGGAAUCCGGUUUGGGGUGAGUUCGCGUCCGAUUAGAUAGUUGGUGAGGUAACGGCCCACCAAGUCGACGAUCGGUAGCCGAUCUGAGAGGAUGACCGGCCACAUUGGAACUGAGAGACGGUCCAAACUCCUACGGGAGGCAGCAGUGGGGAAUAUUGGGCAAUGGGCGAAAGCCCUGACCCAGCAACGCCGCGUGAGUGAAGAAGGCUUUCGGGUUGUAAAGCUCUGUUAUAGGGGACGAAGUGCGUGACGGUACCCUAUAAGGAAGCCCCGGCUAACUACGUGCCAGCCGCCGC